rnacentral:rRNA from 1 species
AACGAACGCUGGCGGCAUGCCUAACACAUGCAAGUCGAACGAGACCUGCGGGUCUGGUGGCGCAGGGGUGCGUAACGGGGGGGAACCUGUCCUUAGGUUCGCGAUAACGCCCGGAAAGGGGUGCUAAUACUGGCUAAUGUCUUCGGACCAAGGAGUUAGCGCCUUUGGAUGGGCCCGCGUUGGAUUAGCUAGUUGGUAGGGUAAAAGCCUACCAAGGCGACGAUCCAUAGCUGGGCUGAGAGGAUGAUCAGCCACACUGGGACUGAGACACGGCCCAGACUCCUACGGGAGGCAGCAGUGGGGAAUAUUGGACAAUGGGCGAAAGCCUGAUACAGCAAUGCCGCGUGAGUGAUGAAGGUCUUAGGGUUGUAAAGCUCUUUUACCCGGGAUGAUAAUGACAGUACCGGGAGAAUAAGCUCCGGCUAACUCCGUG